CAGAUAUUACACAUAUCUAAUCUUCCUGGACUCAGAACAUGCCUCUGACCGCUGGUGUGCUGUGUGCCCUGGAGAAGUCUCUCUGACACUGUUUCCUACCAUCUGUAAUGAGUGUAAGGAUUCUGUCCUUAAUUACAUCAUCAGCCUGCUACGGCGUCCCAGCCUAAAAAGCAGGUGGGCCCUCUGUGCGUCCUCUUUCCUUUCCGCUCCUUCCUCUGGACCUCCUUCUUCUCUUUCCAUGAUCUCUCUCUCUCUCUCUCUCUCCCUCUCCCUCUCUCCCUCCAUCCCAAUAAAGCUCUAAAAAGGUAACCAUGGCUGUGAUUCUUCCAAUCAGCACUCUCCUCCACCGGCAUGGCUGCCACGGGUGGCAGCCAGCCACGAGGAGCAGCACCAUUUAACCAACAUUGGUGCCGUGACUCGGAUAGACCACUGAGGACCUGCUGACUGCUGCCGCUUGCCACCUCCUCUCCCCUCCAGUGAGACCGCGAGACCAUGAGCCCGCACAUGCGCAUGUCCCUUGCCUCCCCUGGACCCCUACACAGCUACCACUACUGCUACUGCCAUGAUUCUUCACAGUUCCCUGUUAUAACUCACUGUUCAGCUAAUGGUACAGGACCACCACAGAACCGGAGUCCAGAGACAUUUUGUCAAACAGAAAGUUCCCAGUCACAGCCAAGAGGGAUACAAGUCUCCAGAGCAAACAGAUGACAGACAGCAUUCCACAACGCCUGUUUACCUCGGAAAACUCCCCUUCUCCAUUCCCCCAGAGCCAACCAACGUCCAAAAGUCAGCUGGAAUAAGUUUUUGAGAGGAACGACGCCCCUAGUCCCAUCUACCUGCUUUUUUAUAAUAAGUGAAAGUCUGGGAUGUAAGGAUUUGGUUCUUAAUUACGUCAUCGGCCUACUACGGCAUCCCAGCCUAAAAAGCAGGUGGGCCCUCUGUGCGUCCCUCUCUUUCCUUUCAGCUCCUUCCUUCCUUCUGGACCUCCUUCUUCUCUUUCCAUGCUCUCUCUCCCUCUCUCCCUCUCUCCCUCUCCCCCCCGCCCCGUCCC